GGAUUAGAUACCCUGGUAGUCCGAGCCGUAAACGAUGGACACUGGGUGUAGAGGGUAUCGACCCCCUCUGUGCCGUAGCUAACGCGUUAAGUGUCCCGCCUGGGGAGUACGGUCGCAAGACUGAAACUCAAAGGAAUUGACGGGGGCCCGCACAAGCGGUGGAGCAUGUGGUUUAAUUCGAUGCAACGCGAAGAACCUUACCAAGGCUUGACAUGUAGGGAAUCCUGAUGAAAGUCGGGAGUGCCGCAAGGAGCCCUAACACAGGUGGUGCAUGGCUGUCGUCAGCUCGUGCCG
rnacentral:rRNA from 1 species